GUCUACGGCCAUACCACCCUGAACGCGCCCGAUCUUGUCUGAUCUCGGAAGCUAAGCAGGGUCGGGCCUGGUUAGUACUUGGAUGGGAGAAUUAAAGAGUUGACUGCU
rfam:Mustela putorius furo unplaced genomic scaffold scaffold00094, whole genome shotgun sequence.